AUACGGAGGAUCCAAGCGUUAUCCGGAUUUAUUGGGUUUAAAGGGUGCGCAGGCGGAAGAUUAAGUCGGCGGUGAAAUUUUGCAGCUCAACUGUAAAAGUGCCAUCGAUACUGGUUUUCUUGAGUGUGGAUGAAGUAGGCGGAAUUUGUGGUGUAGCGGUGAAAUGCAUAGAUAUCACGAGGAACUCCGAUUGCGCAGGCAGCUUACUAGGCCAUAACUGACGCUCAGGCACGAAGGCGUGGGGAUCAAACAGGAUUAGAUACCCUGGUAGUCCACGCAGUAAACGAUGAUUACUCGCUGUUUGCGAUACACAGUAAGCGGCUUAGCGAAAGCGUUAAGUAAUCCAUCUGGGGAGUACGCCGGCAACGGUGAAACUUAAAGGAAUUGACGGGG
rnacentral:rRNA from 1 species